GACGAACGCUGGCGGCGUGCUUAACACAUGCAAGUCGAGCGGAAAGGCCCUUUCGGGGGUACUCGAGCGGCGAACGGGUGAGUAACACGUGAGUAAUCUGCCCCUGGCUUUGGGAUAGCCACCGGAAACGGUGAUUAAUACCGGAUACGACAACUUCUCGCAUGGGAUGGUUGUGGAAAGUUUUUCGGCCAGGGAUGUGCUCGCGGCCUAUCAGCUUGAUGGUGAGGUAAUGGCUCACCAUGGCUUCGACGGGUAGCCGGCCUGAGAGGGUGACCGGUCACACUGGGACUGAGACACGGCCCAGACUCCUACGGGAGGCAGCAGUGGGGAAUAUUGGACAAUGGGCGGAAGCCUGAUCCAGCAACGCCGCGUGAGGGAUGACGGCCUUCGGGUUGUAAACCUCUUUCGCCUGUGACGAAGCGCAAGUGACGGUAACAGGUAAAGAAGCACCGGCCAACUACGUGCCAGCAGCCGCCGUAAAAC
rnacentral:rRNA from 1 species